GACGAACGCUGGCGGCGUGCUUAACACAUGCAAGUCGAACGGAAAGGCCCUGCUUUCAGGGUGCUCGCGUUGCGAACGGGCGAGUAACACGCGCGUGGUCUGCCCCUUACUUUGGGAUAAGCCUGUGAAACUGGGUCUAAUACUGGAUAGGACCAUUCUGUAGGCGGUUUGGUGGAUAGAUUAGGUUCGGUAUGCGGUGAGCUCGAGACGUAUCAGCUUGUUGGUGGGGUAUUGGCCUACGAAGGCGUCGACGGGUAGCCGGCCUGAGAGGGUGGUAGGCGACAUUGAGACUGAGACGCGGCGCAGAAGCCGACGGGAGGCAGCAGUGGGGGAUAGUGUAACAGGGGAGCAAGGCUGAAGCAGCGACGGCGCGUGGGGCAUGACGGUCUGUGGGUUGUAAACAACAAAUGGGCAUGUCGAUGCGCACGUGGUGACGGUAGUGGAAGAAGAAGCACCGGCUAACUACGUG
rnacentral:rRNA from 1 species